rnacentral:rRNA from 1 species
UAGGGAAUCUUCCGCAAUGGACGCAAGUCUGACGGAGCAACGCCGCGUGAGUGAAGAAGGAUUUCGGUUCGUAAAACUCUGUUGUUAGAGAAGAACAGCGCAUAGAGUAACUGUUAUGCGUGUGACGGUAUCUAACCAGAAAGCCACGGCUAACUACGUGCCAGCAGCCGCGGUAAUACGUAGGUGGCAAGCGUUGUCCGGAUUUAUUGGGCGUAAAGCGAGCGCAGGCGGUCAAUUAAGUCUGAUGUGAAAGCCCCCGGCUCAACCGGGGAGGGUCAUUGGAAACUGGUUGACUUGAGUGCAGAAGAGGGGAGUGGAAUUCCAUGUGUAACGGUGAAAUGCGUAGAUAUAUGGAGGAACACCAGUGGCGAAGGCGACUCUCUGGUCUGUAACUGACGCUGAGGCUCGAAAGCGUGGGUAGCAAACAGG